CGGACAGUGUAACAGCGUUGGGCCCAAAAAAUCUAGUAAGGAAGCUUUUUCCUUGAACGCAUUUGCACUGUCUGUUGUGGGGCUGCCUAAAGUUAAAUAUCAGACGUAGUAAUUUCUGUGGGGUUAACGGAGUAAGCUGAUUUGUCGGUGUGUGUGUGUGCGUUCGUACUGGCGUUUGUUGUGCUUCCGUUUGUUAGGUCAAAGUCUCUCAUAUUCAUAGGAAGUUAAUUAAAAACAAAAUCAAAUAAAAAUAUAAAAAUAAUAAAAUAUAACAAAAAAAGUUUGGUGAUUGGCUUAUUUAGUGAGAGGUGGCCGUCUCCCCCUUGUGACACUCACACACUUGGCAGGUGUGCGGGUGCGUCGGACGCGACCAAGGGUUUGGCUGGGUUUUUGUCGGUUUUUAAGUCCCGGAGAAGUGACUAAGCUCCAAAAAAGAACGCGUAGCCAAUCUGUGCCCGUUAGAGAAACACAAAAAGUGGUGAUAACUGGCCAUCAUAGGAAAAGAAAAAGAAUAAGAGAAUAAAGGUUUAGAGUUCAUCGCGAUCUGUUCCUGGGACGAAAUAUAAGUGAAAAGAGAAUAAGAGAAUAAAUGAAAAGAGAAUAAGAGAAUAAAUGAAAAGAGAAUAAGAGAAUAAAUAAAAAGAGAAUAAGAGUUCUUUUGUGUGGAAAGAACCUACAAGAGUUAGAAUAAAAGAGAACGUCCAGGACUAAAAUAGGAGCUGAAAAGCGGGGAUCCUUUUAUGUGUACUUCUCUGUUUGUUGGUUAGCUCCGCCGCCGAGCGGAGUGCGUGUGUGUCAGCUGUGUGUGUGAGAGCUGCAGACGUUUUGCUCUCAUGUGUUGCUUCUCUGCUUGUUUAAUGUUGUAAUAUGUUUUGAAACCAUGGUUGGCGUUUGUGAACUUUAAUUUGGGGAAAAAGGUUUUAAUUUUAUCAGUUGUGUGCCGUCCCGCCGCCGUGCGGACAGUAAAAGGGGUUUGACUUUGUCUGUGGUGUUGUCUCGUCGCCGUACGAGCAGGUGCCGCUGUGCCCACUAAACAAAACAUAAGGUGAUUUCGGAAUUUGCAAAAUGGAUAGUGACUCCAGGGAUGAGGGUUACGACUCAAAGUGGGGCACAGGCCCUUGGGUGACUCUCGGGGAACAAAUAGACGGACUAAUGACUUAUCUGGCGGAACAUGAUGAAUUUCAAAAUAAAAGGGGAAGAACAAAAAUAAAAACAGAGACACAGAGGCUCUCCGCCGUGUGUGUGAGUAAUAAAUUAUAACAAAAAAAAAAAAAAAAAGGCAGGGAGGAGAGAAGAGGUGAUUCUUGCUCCAGGCAUGGCAGACGAGGUCGACAGGAAGAAAUUUGAUUUAAAAGGGGGUAUAGGACCUUUGUUUAUGGUUGGUGAGCAAAUAGAGGGAAUAACUAGCAUAACUAGAAGAAAAUCUACAAUCACUAAAAUUUCAGCAAAAGAUCUAACAAAAUUUAUGCUACUAAAUUUCACCAACUUAAAAUUAUCAGAGUCUAAGCUAAUAAUGAUUUGUAAACUUUCUCUCCUUUAUUAAAAAAGAAAAGAAGGAAUAUUCCGGUAAUACAUGCUAGUUUGAAAUUAAAUUGAACAGUUUUAAGGGCUGAAAAUAAUUGAGACUGAAGUGUUUAUAUACCAUAAAGUAUUUGUUGCAUUUAAACUGAACAGUUAAUUUAGAAUUUCAUUCUAUAAAUGAAUUUACAUUUUAUUACAAUGGGUGAAGUGCUCUAGCAGCAGGUAGUUCAGUUACUGCUGGAUUCUAACAUAUGUCUGAGAUAGUUUUAAUAACAAUAAAUAAAUACAUGAAUGAAUAAAUAAUAAAUAAAAAUGUGCGCAUUACCUACAAACAGGAACCUGACAACUAAAAGAUAAUAUUAACAUAUUAAAUAUGUUAACUAAUAUUGGAAAUUUCAUGAAGCUUCAAUAAAAUUGAUAAUUUGAGCAUAGGACAACAAGAAAAGCAGACUGAAAAUUUGUGACUAACUGAAAAUCAGAUAAAUAUUUAUGUUUCUGUUUGUGCUGCUUUGGUUGAUGAAAAUUAGUGUGAUUAUGAGAACAAACAAACUGUACUCAAGCACUGAGUAACUGAUGAAGUUAUUAAUUAUUUAAUAAAGAAUAAUUAUAAAAAGAUGUCUACUGCUAUAAAAUAAAAGAUUAAAGGAAACUUUGAUUUAAAUAACUGGUUACUUCAAACUGAUGAUUGUGAAUAUGAAUAACAUUUUCUAGACUAAAGUUUAAACUAGGUUUGAUUGAUUGAUUGAUGAUUAUUAAAUUCAUAAAGAAAUAUUGAAUUAGAGGAUUUUAGAUUUGGUCUAAUUUUAGGACGGUAAUUUUUGUUUAAAAAGUGUAAAAACCCAAGAAAAAAACAAUGUUCUGGAGAGGAGCGAACUUUGGGUUGUGUCAUCUGUCAGGAAUCAGACAGAAGUGUUCCACUUUGAUGAAUUUGACAACAUCUACAUGUAAGAUUUCUAAUUAAUUUCUUUUUUGCUGACACAUCUCCUACAAACAAUAUAACUGCCAGGUAAAACUAAUAAUUUGUGAGCGUGCCAUGCACACCACAGGACAGGAUGAGGCUCUAUAAGGGACAUAGGUCAGCUGAUCAAAUGUUAAAUAACAAAAGCAGCAACAGGAUAACAUAGAACUGGAAUCCUCUUAAAUUAAGAUAAAAAAGAGCAAACAAUAGAUAAAAUUGUUCUAGCUGACAUGCAGGCAAAUGCUCCAAUAGCAAGAUCACAAAUGAGAAUAAUUAAAAGGGGCAACACUGAAUGAUAAUAAAUUUUUUCAAUUAAAAAUAAAAACAGAAAGAGGCAGGAGUUUUCACUAAAAGAGGCUGAAGACAAAACAGGCAGACUGCAGAGACAGAACUCAGGCAAAAUGAAAACUAUUGGGUUCCUGACAGGGACAAUAACAUAAAAAGAAAAUUAAAAAAAGGGUCAUUGCCACCAGCUCUGAACACACUAGCAUAAAAAUACAGACUUGACUAUUUUCGUUUUGGGCAAAAUCAAGAACAUGACUGCUCUUAAAGGGCCAGUUGUACCAGAAUGUAUUGAUAAAAGCCAUUCACAAACUGUUAAAAUAUCACGCAUUUCUUAAAUAUCAUUGAAUUUUUGUGAUUUUUUGUAAUAGAAAGUGUUUGUGGUAGUUAUUUGGAAAUAUUUGCACUUAUUUAUAACGGUAAAUUUGACUUUUUAUUACUCGCUGUACAGGUCAUAUAAUGUGACAUCAAUUAGGUUUGAGGCAGCUGUUUAGUUCAAGUAAGGAAGUUUCACUUUUUUUUUUUUUUUGCUCAGAAAAGUGCAGGGAUUUGUUGAUUUUGGUGAAUUUCCCUGAUAAUUCUAAAAGAAACUGGAGCGACUGAUUGAUAUAAUUUGGCAGUAAACGGAUAGAACUGCAUUAAUUUGAUUGAUAACAUAAUAUUUAAGCACACUUAAUGUUUAGUUUAGAAUCUGGAGGGCCUCACAAACCCACAGCGGCCCGGAUUCAGUUUGACACGUGCUCUAAGGGGAUAUAUCCCGUAAUAAUUAAAUAUCACAGAAGGAACUUUGACAGUCAAGGGGGAACUGCUACCCCACAAAUCUUCAGGAGUCCACACUGGGAAUAGAACCCCGACUUGGACUGUAUUAGAUCAAACCCCAUCCUCCCCAAAUCCCAUGUUUGGUCCCAGCUAAAUGACAUUAUAUCUAGAAACCUGGCUCAGAAAAACUACAGUUAAUCUUAAAGGUCCAUACUCAAACUUAAUUGAAAUGCUUAAAGAAGCAGUUUUAAAAGGCGUCCCGGGAUAUGUUAUGCAGUCUAUAAAACACACUCAAGAUCUUGCAGGGUGUGAACAUGUGAGAUGGAAAUGACACCUGCUUCAUCACCUCUUAAAGGCGCAGGACGAAUAAAAUAAUAAUUAAAAAAACAGUCUUAAGGGCUUAGACACUCAGACGCUGAAACUCCAAUUGCAGGAAGCAAAACAAAAUUACAUUAAUUAAAUAAAAAGUAAACAAGAACAUGUGAUGGUUGCAGCAGCAUCUUCUCAAAAUAAAUCUACACAGGGUAAAAUUCCAAAUUACUGGCAAAACUCUAAUCAUACUGGGGGGGGAACUGGUUCCUCCUCCUGCUUUUUCUUUUUUAUAUCCUCAAACAGAUACAGAGCGUUUCCUCGUGGACGGGGAUGGCGUUUGGCUGGAUGUGGAUGAGGGCCAUGGGGCAAGGUCACGGAGCACGAGGCCAAGGACCAAAGGAACUUGACGUGCUACCAGUGCAGACAUUUUGGACACUGGGCAAAACACUGUGUGAACAUACCAAAGACUGCCAGGUAUGAUCCCCAACAAUCCUUAUGUGAUUCCUGGACAUUGCUUUCAGGGGAAUACUGAGGCCACACAGAACAUCUACUGACACACUGCUGAGGACCCCAGAGACAAUGUGGGUACAGCAGACCCCAUGUUGUCUGCAACAGUGGAAGGAAAACACACAGACUUCCUGGUUGACACCGGAGCCACACAUUCCACUCUGGACUCUGAUCCUCCUUUUUCUCUGACAUCAAGAACUGUGUCUUUAACAGGGUUCUCAGGGACUGAACAGAGUCUGCUAUUCACGAUGCCUCUGACCUUCACCUUGGGUAAUCAGAAUAUGAAACAUUCUUUUCAGCCUAAUGUCAACGUUCUUGGCCUGGAAGCCCUGGCUCCUGUGUCUGCGCUUCUGUGUUCCUCCUCCGGAUCCACCAUGUGACCCUGUUCUGCGACAGAGACGUCUCUGAAUGGUACCAGGAACCUUUCCUUUCCACUUUGAAGGAAACAACCUGGCAGGUAAAAGUCUCGGACAUUUAUGUAGCUCCUGUUGGUGUAGCUGCUGUUGUCUCUUUCGCAAAAAAAAAAAAAAACAAAAAAAAAAAAAAAACAAACAAUCAGAAUGGUAUUAAAUGUCUCACAUUUCUCUCUGUUUGCACCCUGAGCACCAAGUGAAAGAAUUGGGCGUGAUGAUGAAAUGUUCCCUGGCAGCCACAGAUUCGAUUGCCACAGCAGCACUAGGUUUGUUUUUCUCCCGCUCUCUUGAAAAAUAUAAGAUCAGUCAUUCAGGAUCUGAUCACAUAAUAAAUUUUGAAGUAAAAUGUAAUGCAAUUUUCCAUAAAUUAGUGACAUUAGGCAUUCUGAUGAGGCUCCUUGCUUUAUAAAAUUAACAAUCUUCAAACAUAUUUCCCAGCAUACCUACAUUUCUUAUUUAAAUAGUUUCUUUAUAUUGUUUGGUAAGAUAUUCAAAUUUAAUAUGUCAUAUUUCCAUUAACUGUGAGCAGAAAAUUAUUAUCAUUACUAGAAUUAAAGACUUUAGUUAAAAUAAAUUAACAUCUGAUAUGCAAUACAUAUAAAUAUUUUUAAGACGGACUAUUCCCUCAUAAUAGAAUUGAUUUUAGUUUAAUCAGGUUUUGCAAGAUAUUUUGCAGGACUGCCCACUAGACCUUUUGCUUGCUGCACCAACUAUGGAGACCUGCGUUAAAGCCACCUCAGUUCUUUGAGGAUAUUUCUGUAACAAAACUGACUGUUUUGUUUCAGAAAAAGGGGGAGGAAAAGGGCAUCACCCUUGUACGCAACAGGCAGCUGGGAUACCCGAUACAAAAACUGAACACAUAGUCAUGGGACAUUCACUGAGUUUCACCAUGACAGCGUUGAGACAACAAACACUUUCCAAAGUCCUGAAAGCUCCAAACAUUUCAUUCACACACCAAGACAUAAAUAUGGCAGACUGUUUUUCAGAAGGAGAACCACACGUGUGUGCAGACCUGGUGGCAAAGACAGACAAGGUAACACCAGAACUUCAAGCAGCUCCUCUGCUGGGACCAGAGGUGAGACAGUUCUUUACAGAUGGUUGUUGUUUCAGAAGCAACACACAAGGGUUAAGAGCCUGGAAGAGGUGGUGAGAUGCCAAAAGGGGGCAUCACCUGAAGAGAAAAACGUGAAACAAAUGGGUGCUGGAGGGGCCCAGAUGGCAGGUUAAUUCUGCCUCCUGGGAAAAUACAAGAGCUACUCCAAGAAGCUCAUGGGUUGGACAUGUUGGGACAAAACAGAUGAUGCACAAUCUUAAAGAGUGGUGGCACCCCCAAAUGAUCCACAUGGUGAAACAUUUUGUGAAAAAUUGUUCGGUGUGCGGACAGCUGAAUCCUAAGAAAACUUUGAAUCCACAUCAGGGACAGUUUCCUUCAGUCACAUGUCCAGGGAAAGAAAUUGUGUUGGAUUUUACUGACAUGAUAAACCCGGUGCAAGACAAAAAUAUUUGCUGAUUUGUGUUGAUGCUUUCACAGGAUGGCCUGAAGCCUGGCCAGCAAUGACAGAAGAUAGUGAAAUCAUCAUAAAAUGUCUAAUCAAUCAUUACCUCCCAAGGCAAAGCAGAAUGAAUGAAUCAAAAUUUAAAACAAAAUUGGCUAAGGUUUGUGCACAAACAAAAUUAAAUUAGGUCGAUACAUUACACAGGAACCAACUUGUGGUUAGACUGAUUAACUGCAACAGCACGAUAAUAUCAAAUGUCUAACUGUGUGACCUGCACAGCUGGACGACCCAGAAUGUACUGAACCUGCUUCUUUGAUUCCAUCUGACAUUUGGGGUUUUAACUGCAUGUUUAAUAUGACUAACUUUAAACAACCCUCCGGAUGUGACACUUUAACAGCUUUAUUUCCAGUAAUCAACAGCGGAGCCCGGAUGGUGCCGCUAUUCCAGUUAAAGAUAACUAUGUCUAUUUCAAUUUUACAACAGGUAACCGCAGUGUGGGCCGGAUCCCUGAAAGUUGGUGUAACAUCAAAUUCCCAGGGCACUUAAUAGGCUAGAGAUGGGAUAUUUUAUCUAUGCAGGGGUAAUAAACUAAUUGAGAGAAUAUAGACAGGUGUGACAGGUGUCUGUGCUAUGGUGAGACUUAGAGCCUGUGUCAUCAUGGUAGGUGAACAACAACCUCUGAAUCACAGCAUUUUUUCACAGGUCAAGUGCAGCGCAACUGUGGAGCUGCAACUUUCCAGAUUUUAAAUGUAAAAAGUCCAAUCCUUUCUCGGUGUGCCUGGAUGAAAAUGAGGCAUCUGGACACACGUAGAAACUGGUUGACAUCAACAGAUACUAGACAACACAAUUUUGAAUUAAGUUUGUAGAUCUCAUUAAAACAAAUUAAUCCUGUUGACUUCUUACGAUUUGGCCAGUAUCAUUACAUUGUGUUAAGACUGAAUUUUUAUCUAAAACAUUGAUUGCCAAGUUUAAAAUGUGUUUUCAUUUUGUUCACUAAACAUAUUUCUUUUCAGUUGGUAAGUUUGCAUCUCUUUAUGACCACUAACUACUUUCACAUUUUGAACUUAAAGAUUUCACCGCUCGAGUACUAAAAGGGAUCUUAACAAUACUUUAUUUAGGAUUUUAUUUGUCAGUAUUAUAUCUAACAUUUAAUCAUUUAUCCUAUUUUCAUUAAGUUUUGGCUUAUUGAAGCUUGCAUAUUGACUAACAUUUUAUUCAUUUUGCAUUAUUCAAUUUAUAGUUUACCGGCAUUCACAGUAUUAACCUCACAUUGUAUUCACAAAUUUAUUUUUUUAAAUUAAUAGUAAUAUAAAACGGAUUUCAAAUGCCGGCUUCACUUUCUAACAUUUAUUUUUAAAUUUACUCUUUUAACUCAUUAAUUUCCCUUUAUUCAUUCAAAUUGCACAUUUGAAUGCAAGUGUGCAAUUCAAACCGGUUUGACAUUGAUAGGGUUUGCUAGAAGACAUUGCCUUGAUUAAACUUUGUAGAUCGCAUUACAACUCAAUACUACUGAAUUCUAAUGAAUCUUCUAGAAUAAUUACAUUGUACUUCUACUGAAUUUUUGAAAAUAACAUUGAUUUGCAUAUUUCAAAUGUGCUUGUCUCUUAUUCUGUGCAUUGCACAUGGUUUUCAUCUAAAAAAAGGGAUCUGAAAAUUUCUUUGUUUACGUUUAAAAUUUUUAAGCAUCAUCUAACAAUUAUUCAUUUUAAGGUUUAUCUUCUUGACUUUUGGUUUAAUAAAUCAAAAUUUUCACUAAUGUUUAUUCAUUUCUCAUUUUAAUUUUAUUUUUAAAUAAAAUCUAAUGUUUUAUUAUUUUCUUCAUUUUGCAUGUCUUUUCAGGUAUUAAAUAACAUUUUAUUAAUUUUACAUUUCAGUUACCAUUUAUUCAUAAAUUUUUUAAAUAAUAUUUAUUUAUUUUUUAUUUAUUUUUUGUUGAAUGUUCUUUGUUAGCCUGUAAGAGGAACACUGUGGUUUCUACCCGCCGCCCAGGGCCAGGGGGCGCUCUGUUCGAUUUUUACCCC